UACGUAGGGAGCAAGCGUUGUCCGGAAUCAUUGGGCGUAAAGCGCGCGUAGGCGGCCCCGUAAGUCCGCUGUGAAAAGUCAAAGGCUCAACCUUUGAAAGCCGGUGGAUACUGUGGGGCUAGAGUCCGGAAGAGGCGAGUGGAAUUCCUGGUGUAGCGGUGGAAUGCGCAGAUAUCAGGAGGAACACCAAUAGCGAAGGCAGCUCGCUGGGACGGUACUGACGCUAAGGCGCAAAAGCGUGGGGAGCGAACAGG
rnacentral:rRNA from 1 species